rnacentral:rRNA from 1 species
ACGCAGCCAGCUGCGAGACUUGGUGUGAAUUGCAGGACACACUGAGCACUUACUCUUUGAACGCACAUUGCGGCCUCGGGCCUUCCCGUGGCUUCGUCUGUGUGAGGGUCG